ensembl:lncRNA
AUUUGGAAUAGCUCAUACACCCUUUCCCCUGCCUCCGUCCCCAGGACCGGGGUGUGUGAGCCUCCAUGUUCCCCCUGUGAUGAUAAACGGCUGCUGAUUCCAUGAUUCCAAUUUGUAAUUUUCUGAGCGCAGAGAUAUGAAAACAUCUGCUGAAAGACUCAUCAGUUCAACACCAACAUUCCAAACACAGGUUCUGUCCAUAGAGAUGGUCACCUGAGGACCAAGACGGCUGGGUCUAGUCACAGCUGACCACAUACAGUCCAUAUCAUAAGUAUUCACUCUCUUUGGAUUUCUUCACAUUUUAUUGUGUUACAAUGUGGUAUGAAAAUGGAUUUAAUUGUCUAUUAUUUUUGUAUCUACACAAAAACACUCUCUAAUGUAAAAGUAAAUGAAUUCAAUGAAUGAAAAAUAAAAAGCUAAUAUGAUUAGAUAAGUAUGUCGAUACAUGUUAUAAACAUAUUUGGCAGCGAUUUUAGCUGUGAGUCUUUUGGGGUAAGUCUCUUAACGUUUUGCACACCUGUGCCAUAUUUGCCCAUAAUUUUUUUUUUAAAUGAUUCAAGCUCUGUCAAGUUGGUUGUUGUUAGACAGACAUUUUCAAGUGUUGCCAUAGUUUUUCAAGCAGAUUUAAGUCAAAACUGUAACUAGGCCACUCAGGUACUCAGGCACUGACUUAUUGGUAAGCAACUGAAAUGCAGAGUUGGCCUUUUGUUUUAGACUAUUGUCCUACUAACAGGUUAAUUUGUCUCCCAGUGUCUGGUGGAAAGCAGACUGAACCAGGUUUUCCUAUAGGAUUUUGCCUGUGGUACAGUCCAUUCUGUUUAUUUUUAUCCUGACAAACUCCCUAGUCCUUGAAGAUGAGAAGUCUACCCAUAACAUGAUGCAGCCACCAUCAUGCUUGAAAAUAUGGAGAGUAAUAUUCAGUAUCACCUGUUUAGUCCCUUGUUGCAAACAUGAUGCAUGUUUUUCUAUUUUUGUCCUAUACAAGCUUCCUUCUUUUCGCUCUGUCAUGUGGGUUAGUAUUGUAACUACAAUGUUGUUGAUCCAUCCUCACUUUUUUUUCUAAAAUCACAGCCAUUAACUACCAUGUUGUUGUGUUACUACCAUGUUGUGUGUCGCUACCAUGUUGUUUUCAUGUUGCGUUGCUACCAUGCUGUGCUGUCGUGUGUUGCUGCCUUGCUUUGUUGUUUUCUUAGGUCUUUCUUCAUGUAGUGUUGUGUUGUCUCUCUUGUCGUGAUGUGUGUAUUGUACUAUAUUUUUAUUACAUUUUUAAUCCCAGCCCCUGUCCCCGCAGGAGGCCUUUUGCCUUUUGGUAGGCCGUCCUUGUAAAUAAGAAUUUGUUCUUAAGUGACUUGCCUAGUUAAAUAAAGGUGAAAUACAAAUAAAAACUGUG